AUUGAACGCUGGCGGCAUGCUUUACACAUGCCAGUCGAACGGCAGCGCGGGCUUCGGCCUGGCGGCGAGUGGCGAACGGGUGAGUAAUGCAUCGGAACGUGCCCAGUAGUGGGGGAUAGCCCGGCGAAAGCCGGAUUAAUACCGCAUACGACCUGAGGGUGAAAGCGGGGGACCGAAAGGCCUCGCGCUAUUGGAGCGGCCGAUGUCGGAUUAGCUAGUUGGUGGGGUAAAGGCUUACCAAGGCGACGAUCCGUAGCUGGUCUGAGAGGACGACCAGCCACACUGGGACUGAGACGCGGCCCAGACUCCUACGGGAGGCAGCAGUGGGGAAUUUUGGACAAUGGGGGCAACCCUGAUCCAGCCAUGCCGCGUGCGGGAAGAAGGCCUUCGGGUUGUAAACCGCUUUUGUUCGGGAAGAAAUCCUCUGGGCUAAUACCCCGGGGGGAUGACGGUACCGGAAGAAUAAGCACCGGCUAACUACGUG
rnacentral:rRNA from 1 species